AGUGAACGCUGGCGGUAGGCCUAACACAUGCAAGUCGAACGGCAGCACAGUAAGAGCUUGCUCUUACGGGUGGCGAGUGGCGGACGGGUGAGGAAUACAUCGGAAUCUACUUUUUCGUGGGGGAUAACGUAGGGAAACUUACGCUAAUACCGCAUACGACCUACGGGUGAAAGCAGGGGAUCUUCGGACCUUGCGCGAUUGAAUGAGCCGAUGUCGGAUUAGCUAGUUGGCGGGGUAAAGGCCCACCAAGGCGACGAUCCGUAGCUGGUCUGAGAGGAUGAUCAGCCACACUGGAACUGGGACACGGUCCAGACUCCUACGGGAGGCAGCAGUGGGGAAUAUUGGACAAUGGGCGCAAGCCUGAUCCAGCCAUACCGCGUGGGUGAAGAAGGCCUUCGGGUUGUAAAGCCCUUUUGUUGGGAAAGAAAAGCAGCAGGUUAAUACCCCGCUGUUCUGACGGUGCCCAAAGAAUAAGCACCGGCUAACUUCGG
rnacentral:rRNA from 1 species